GCCGGCUUAGCUCAGGGGUAGAGCAACCGCCUUGUAAGCGGUAGGUCGUGUGUUCAAUUCACACAGCCGGCACCA
rnacentral:tRNA from 1 species